rnacentral:misc_RNA from 1 species
AUAAAAGAUUUGAGAGGAAGAAAUGAUGUGUUUAUCUGCAAUUUUGCAAACAGGUUCAAAAAUUCCUAAAAAAUUACAAUUUUGAUUAAAUCUGUAAAUAUACAAAUUUUUAAAAAAAUUAAUAAACCAACAGCGUAAUUCGUAAAAUGUUUACUUUUAUCGAUUCCGAUUCGCGUAACUAGUAACAGUCGAAAUCGAUUAAUGGGUCAAUAACCCUCGACAAAUGUAUCAACUUUCUACACGUAAUUAAAACUGAAAAAAACCGAUUCAUACGGGUGGAAAGUUUACAUUUAUCGAUAGGAAACAAAAUAUUUUCGAAAUCUUUAAAACCAUCAUUCUGAUUACGGAUGGAAUUCGAACUGGAAUCGCAUGCAUUUUCAUCAUUAGUUGCUUCCUUUAAUUAAACAAAAAACAUAAAAGAAAAACAAAUUACUGAAGAAAUGUAAGCCAGGAUGAUGUAAAUUAAUAAAAGUUAAUUAGUGAGUUAAUUAAUUUUUCUUAAUUAAAGUUUUAAAGCAGAAAUUUUAGGGGAGUUUUUCUUCUUUACAUUGUCUACGUCAGAGCUUGUCAAUUGACGGUGACGUCGAAGGUUGCAUCGCCAUGACAACGCUCGCGCCUUCUCUCUCGUUUCCAGUUUCGCGUAAAGCAGAGCUAAGUAAUGUCUUCCUCUUCUGCUCUCGCUCCCGUUCCCGUUCCCGAUUCUACGGUAUUAGAUACGGGAAGAAGGUCCAGAACCGAUGGAGAUGAAACAGAGCGCCCACCUUCUCGAGAAGAUGCAGAACAAGAGGGAUUCGAUAAAAACAAGGCAUCCAGACCCGUUUACAAAAAGAUCUUUCGCUGUGUUCUUUUGUUCUUCCCGCUUAUAAUACCGUUUAUUGCCUACAUCAGAGGAACAGAUCCUGCCAGUCAAAUACUUCUGGUUUUGUUCAUAGUGCUGCUGGUGGUGAUAUUUUCUUGUGUGCUGACGGCAUUGCUGAAGGUGAGAGCGCGUCUGGCAGACAGGGCGGGCAGAAGGGAGCUGGAGCAACAUCACGUCUUUGCCAUAACCAGCAGAUUUCUGCCGCUUACUCUGCCGUACGGAAAUUACUCGCCGGAACGCCCCGAGGAGGCGACGGGAACCACUCCUCCUCCGUACUAUUGCAUUGCCAUGCAGACCGUGACUGCCCAGCCAGAUAGGCCCCCUUCUUACGAGGAGGCAUUGUAUUGUCCUUCGCCGUCUCUUUUCAAAGAAGAAAGAAUGAUGGCCGGUGCAAUGUGCAACAGUUUUGAGUUACCACCUCCGGAUUACGAAACUGUAGUGAAAUGAUCGUGUAGGCAUUCUUUGUGGCAGUUCAAUCCUUCGUCCUGAUUUUAUGCAGGAUAAAAAUAAAAUUAGAAAGGAUUUGGAUGUUUGGAGUCCUGUGAUUUAAUUGCAAAUGAAUUAUUCUAACCAUAUCUUUUACCAUGUACAAAUUUUACUGCAAAACUAUAUGUUGUUAAUCUGCUGCCAAUGUGAAAAAUUUCUCUUCCCACGUGUAAAGAACAAGUUGGAAGAACCACAAGUUUUCAUAAAAAAUAAACUGGAAAUCCUUUAUAAGGAUUCAUUCCAAAUAAAAUUAACUGCACAGCUGCAGCCAAUCAACAAAAGUUUAUUAUUUAACAAAUUGGCUGCAAGUAUUUAUUUUUCUUUUCUUA